GGCGGUUCCUCUUGUUUCCUGUUUAAAGUUUACUUCCACUUUCCUCAGCCUGUUGUGUGUCUCAGCCUUUUCUCUCCGUAAGAAUCUCCAUCUGAAGGACCCAUCAGAGACCAGACCCUGCUGAACCUGAACCUGAACCUGAACCUGAACCCAGCUGUGUGUCCAUGAAGCCACCACUACUUUAAAAAAAAGAAGGCGACCUGUAAUCAAGAGGAGAAUUAAAAUGGACGAGAGGCAUAAAUAUGAGAGGGAGCAAAUGGAAAAUGAAAAGUUAAGAAGAAAGUUGGGGACCGUCAUGGGACCUGAACCUGAACCCAGCUGUGUGUCCAUGAAGAGUGACCAGUCAAUGGAGCCACCGCUAUUGUUCAGAGGAUCUUCAGUGUUUGAGUAAGUUAGCUUCAGUUACUUUAUAACGUCAGCAACAUUACAAAACAUUUGAAAGAACAAGGGCUGCCCC
rnacentral:lncRNA from 1 species